rnacentral:rRNA from 1 species
AAAACAUCUCCUUAGAAAUACUAAGGUAGGACCUGCUCACUGCAAAAUAUAAAGAGCCGCAGAAUUUUAACUGUGCAAAGGUAGCAUAAUCAUUAGUUUUUUAAUUAAAAACUUGUAUGAAAGGUCUGACAAGAUUCUUACUUUCUUAAAAUUAAAAAAAAACUUUAAAAUUUAGUAAAAAAGCUAAAAUAAAUUAGAAAGACGACAAGACCCUAGAACCUUAAAAUUUAUUGGGGAGAUAAUAUCCAGCACUCGGCUAGAAGAAAAACUUAUUGAAAGAGAUUUUCUUACUAAAAAUUAAAUUCAAUCAGGUACUCUAGGGAUAACAGCGCCAUCCUUUCUAGGAGUUCUUAUCUACGUAAGGGAUUGCGACCUCGAUGUUGAAUUGAACUAUCUAAGUAAAGCAAAAUUUACUCAAGAGGGUCUGUUCGACCUUUAAUUCUUCACGUGAUC